rnacentral:rRNA from 1 species
GAUGAACGCUGGCGGCGUGCCUAACACAUGCAAGUCGAGCGAUUCUCUUCGGAGAAGAGCGGCGGACGGGUGAGUAACGCGUGGGUAACCUGCCCUGUACACACGGAUAACAUACCGAAAGGUAUGCUAAUACGAGAUAAUAUACUUUUAUAGCAUGGUAGAAGUAUCAAAGCUUUUGCGGUACAGGAUGGACCCGCGUCUGAUUAGCUAGUUGGUAAGGUAACGGCUUACCAAGGCGACGAUAAGUAGCCGACCUGAGAGGGUGAUCGGCCACAUUGGAACUGAGACACGGUCCAAACUCCUACGGGAGGCAGCAGUGGGGAAUAUUGCACAAUGGGCGAAAGCCUGAUGCAGCAACGCCGCGUGAGCGAUGAAGGCCUUCGGGUCGUAAAGCUCUGUCCUCAAGGAAGAUAAUGACGGUACUUGAGGAGGAAGCCCCGGCUAACUACGUGCCAGCCGCCGCCGUAA